UUCGGCGUCAAAAGCGCUCCUUCCGCCCUUAUCCUCUCGCUACAGGACACAAGGGCAACAGGGAGGCGAUUUGUGUUGCCGGCGGCGAUUCAGCCGGUCCCUUCCCUCUCUGGUGACCUGUACGGCGCCGGAGAUGGAAGAGGAGCGGCGAAUCGUCGUGCGGUUGUGAAUAGAUUAGGUAUUUUAGUACCUAGGUCUCCGCUUUCCUCACUGUCGACGACGACGGUGGUAGAACGAAUAAGCUCGCCGGGUGUUCCUAUGGCCACAGCGGUGUUCUUGCUCCUCCAAGGGACCUUCUCCAGAGACGGCGCCCUCUGUGGUGUGUGCUCCUGCGACCUCUCGGUGAGCUUGGGAAGAGAAGUUGGUUCGUUGCCUUAGUGGUCUCCGGUGCUGGGUGGUGGCCUGGUGCUUCGAUUCCGGCAAGUUGCAGUGGAAUCCAAGUUCCCAUCGCGAGGUGUUGAUGGCGUUGGCCUUUUGCUACAAGGAUGGAGAGGUGGCUGUGGGUUCCGUGGCUGGCAGGUGGAUGAAUCAAGCUCAAGCUUCCCCCGGCGGCAGAUGUCGACGAUGGCGAGCUCUGAUUCAUGGUCAGGAGGGCUCGGGUGCGUCCCCGGCCGAUGAUCGUUCAGCGUGUGCUUCAUCCCGUCCUUGGAGUCGAGUGUCCUUUGCGGCUCUUUUCAAAGCCAUGGUGCGAUGAGGCUUCUUCUGACCUGGGGUGAGCGGCGACUGGAGUCGGCGGUGGUCUCCGGCAGCGGCGAACGGCGGCGUACUCUGCAGGAUUCAGUUUGCAGAGGUUCCAAGGGCUUCGUUGUAAUUUCUUUGUGUCUUAGGGGCCUCCGUGCAAAUAGGGUGGGACAGCUGUCCUCUAUAUCUUCUUUGGACGUAUCUGUAUUUGUACUGUAUCCUUAACUUUAAUACAGGUAUGUUUUGGAUAAAAAAAACGAAAGAAAGUGCCGAACAA